AGCAUUUGUGUGUGUUUCUUUGUUUGUAACAAAGCAUUACAGACAGGUACAAACAGUAAAUCUUCUUUUGUAACCUAGAACUCAUGAUUGAUAUAAGAUUUUGGUACAUAUGUGAAAGAAUAUG
rfam:Dipodomys ordii contig_36732, whole genome shotgun sequence.